GUAGCCCAGUAGCGGCGAGUGAGCGGCAAGAGCUAGAUUUGAAAUCGUGUUUCGGCACGAGUUGUAGAGUGUAGGCGGGAGUCUCUGUGGAGCGCGGUGUCCAAGUCCCUUGGAACAGGGUGCCUGAGAGGGUGAGAGCCCCGUAGGGUGCUGCGCGAAGCUUUUGAGGCCCUGCUGACGAGUCGAGUUGUUUGGGAAUGCAGCUCCAAGCGGGUGGUAAAUUCCAUCUAAGGCUAAAUAUUGGCGAGAGACCGAUAGCGAACAAGUACUGUGAAGGAAAGAUGAAAAGCACUUUGAAAAGAGAGUGAAACAGCACGUGAAAUUGUUGAAAGGGAAGGGUAUUGGGCUCGACAUGGGGGGUGCGCACCGCUGUCUCUUGUAGGCGGCGCUCUGGGCGCCCUCUGGGCCAGCAUCGGUUCCUGCUGCGGGAGAAGGGGCUCCGGAAAGUGGCUCUUCGGAGUGUUAUAGCCGGGGCCAGAUGCCGCGUGUGGGGACCGAGGACUGCGGCUUCUGUCUCGGAUGCUGGCAUAACGGCGCAAUACCGCCCGUCUUGAACAC
rnacentral:rRNA from 1 species